rnacentral:lncRNA from 1 species
ACCGUUAUCAUGAGUAAGAUGAAAUACUUGCUUCUGUCGUAUGAGAGGGACUGUCCAGCAAUUCGUGCAGCUGUGUUGAUCACUUGACCAAACAGAGUCGGUCCUGCCAAAGAAACAUUGUUUAGAGCGCUUGCAUAGGCAGCCAUAAUGUCUUCAACUCCAUCUGCCUAUUAAAUAAAGAAACCAGCAGUUAAUGAAAAAAUGGAAGAGGAUAAAAUACACAUCUUUUAGGAUAAAAUUCCAAGGAAAUUUUUUUAAAAAUGUAGAAACAUAUUAUAUUGUUUGUUAUUAAAAAUGAAAAGUUAUGGGAGACAAGCCAACCAAAUGAGGAUUAUAGCAACGUUGCGAAUUCCAGCUACCCCUACCUCAAAGCCACCUGCUCUUCCAUUCAAGUUAAAACAAUGUGAUACAGUGCCAUCAAAUGUCUUCCCUCCAAAUCCCCAUGCAGGAAAGCGUCUAUCAGAAUCAUAAAAUUGUAUGACCUCCCCAAUUUCCGUUAUUGCCUGUAAAUGGUUUAAGAGGCCAAUAACUAAUCAGUGAUAUUCUCUCUCAACUUCUACGAACUAUUGAAAUAUCUAUUUCCCUAUGACGGCCAUAGAAAGACUUGAAAGUCACAGGCAUUUUAUAAGUCGAAAACACUGGACAAAAUGACCAUUUUAUGACCUUCAGAGUUCAGAGAUCACUUGUCAAAGUGUGAGUCAUAACAAAGCCUUACCUGCUGGUAAGAAUUCAAUCUGCCUGAAGGAUCAAUAUAGUGCAAAGAAUUUGGAUUUCGAGGAUUUCCAUUUGAAGCUGGAUGAUAUAAAAGUUGCACCAGUUCUUUCUUGAUGAAGUUUCUCCAGGUCUCCAACUGAUUUCUGAAUUUUACUAAUAACAGAAAUAGAAAACCUUGACAUCAGAAAGGCAAAAGGAUAAAAGAGGGAAGCUGAUGACAUUAAGAAAUUUAACAGUUACCCCAUCAGUACGUGAUUUCCACUGGUAUUGAAAUCAAAACAUUCAAUGAUUAAUGGGUUUUCCUGUACCAAAGAGAAUCAUAAACUAAAAAACAUUUCCCCAUGACCAAACUUCACUACCUAUUAUACAUUCAAGUAACAAACACAAGAAGAUGACAAGGUUACCUUGCUCACAAAUUGUUGCAUGCUCAAAGUUAUUGGUCUCCAAAUGGGAUUCAAGUUACAACAGAUAUAUCUUGAAACAAAGGUACGUAUUCAUUACUGAGCGACCCAAAAGUUACUGUUGAAUUAGAUUAAGCACUGCCAUUUUAUUUGAAAACUGUUGUUCCUGCUUUCACCUUCAAUUUGUUUUGUUCGUUGUUUACAGGAAGUCCAAAAUCAUAAAGAUGAUUCAGGCCAACCUUCUGUGCAGCAUCAGGAAUGAGGCCAAUUUUCAUUGAAAUUUGUGAGACAUGGUAUGCAGCUCGUGUAUUUUCUAUCAAAGUUAAGACGGUAAGAGGGCCUUCAUUUUUUAUUGUUAUUGUUCUACAUUUUGGCUUCUCUUGAUUACUCAAACCCAGUUUCAAAGAGUUAUAAUACAACACUUUCGGAAAUUUCUUUCACUCACAUCAUUCCAGGUUGAAUGGUGGAAGGGUCCUUCAUCUAUGCUGUUUCAGACAUCUUGAAAGACUAUAUAAGAAUCUAAAUUAAAGAUGUGUGAAUCAGACUUGUCUUGUGUGCACGUGAGCCAUGUGUUAGAUUGCUGGUGUAGUAGUAAAAGUAGACAUUCAGCACAUGUUCAUUGUAGUAAAUAUUCAACAAAGAUGAUAAAACAGCAACAGAAAUUGGAGUUUUAGGCCAUCAGACAAACAAUUGUGAAACAAGUGGGUAGAGGGAAUAAUAAAAAUCGAAAGACAUGGAUGGGAAGAAUAUGAGAUCAUUGAUAGAACCUAAAUACAAAUUCAAUCAAUUCAUUAAGCCAUCAAAAGUUAGUUACAAACCACUCUAUCUUAACAGAUGUAAUUUACCAUCAUCUAAAACCGCUAUAUCCUAACAUAUGUAAUGUACCAUUAUCAAUUUCUGCUACUGCUGUACCGUACAUCCGCCUUGGCCGUACAGCAGAAAAUAAGUCGAGUCUCUAUGUAUGGAAGGAUGCUUUACGACAAUUGAAAAAUAAGUCUUUAUUGGGGGCCGCCUAUUCAAGUUUAGAGCUGAGUUACUAUCAUUUAGAAGAUGAGGAUUUAGGAGGUGAGGAACUCAGGAAAACGUUUUUGCUAAUAGGAUACUCCUACAUACGUAACGUUAAAGACUUGCUUUAUCAUGGCAUGGGUUUGGGUCUGUUUCAAAACAUCAACACGGUGGAUGAGGCACGGGAUAGAGCACAUACAUUGGUUGAUAAACUCAAGAACUCUUGCUUGUUGCUUGGUGGCUGGAGAAGUGAAUGGUUUUCAAUGCAUGAUGUUGUUCGUGAUGUAGCCAUAUCUAUUGCAUCAAGAGACCAACAUGUGUUUGCGGUGGAAAAUGAGGUUGUCCCGCUGACCAGCUGGCCUACUCUAAAUUGAAUCUAUCAAACUAUAGAAAAAAGAAGUUCGAUGCUAGUAAGAAGAUAUUCCAGUUAGAAAACAUUGUGUACCUCCAUUUGUGUAAAAUCUGCACCUCCCACACCCACAAUUAGAAUUGACAGGGGAAGAUCAGAAGCCCUUACCAAAGCAUCUUUUGUUUCUUGGAGAUCCGUCAGAACUCCAUCCUAAAUAGACAAUGCAAAUUUACAAAUCACCCAAAAAGAAUGAUAGAAAGAGAAAACUGUGAAUAUAUAGAAUCAUUGUAAUCACCGUUAUAAUGAGUAAGACGAAAUACUUGCUUCUGUCGUAAGAGAGGGACUGUCCAGCAAUUCGUGCAGCUGUGUUGAUGACUUGACCAAACAGAGUCGGUCCUGCCAAAGAAACAUUGUUUAGAGCGCUUGCAUAAGCAGCCAUAAUGCCUUCAACUCCAUCUACCUAUUAAAUAAAGAAACCAGCAGUUAAUGAAAAAAUGGAAGAGGAUAAAAUACACAUCUUUUAGGAUAAAAUUCCA